rnacentral:tRNA from 1 species
UAGUGCUUACUACAACGAAUAGUAGUAGUAGUACUUGUACUACUACGAGUAGUUCUAGUAGUACUUGUGCUACUACGAGUAGUGCUAG